rnacentral:rRNA from 1 species
GGCCGGAACACAGGUGCUGCAUGGCUGUCGUCAGCUCGUGUCGUGAGAUGUUGGGUUAAGUCCCGCAACCGAGCGCAACCCUCGCCCCUAGUUGCCAUCAUUCAGUUGGGAACUCUAGGGGGACUGCCGGUGAUAAGCCGCGAGGAAGGUGGGGAUGACGUCAAGUCCUCAUGGCCCUUACAGGCUGGGCUACACACGUGCUACAAUGGCGGUGACAAUGGGCAGCGAAGGAGCGAUCCGGUGCUAAUCCCAAAAAGCCGUCUCAGUUCAGAUUGCACUCUGCAACUCGAGUGCAUGAAGGUGGAAUCGCUAGUAAUCGUGGAUCAGCAUGCCACGGUGAAUACGUUCCCGGGCCUU